rnacentral:rRNA from 1 species
UACGUAGGGGGCUAGCGUUGUCCGGAAUUAUUGGGCGUAAAGAGCUCGUAGGCGGUGUGUCGCGUCGGCCGUGAAAACCUGGGGCUCAACUCUGGGCGUGCGGUCGAUACGGGCAUCACUUGAGUUCGGCAGGGGAGACUGGAAUUCCUGGUGUAGCGGUGAAAUGCGCAGAUAUCAGGAGGAACACCGGUGGCGAAGGCGGGUCUCUGGGCCGAUACUGACGCUGAGGAGCGAAAGCAUGGGUAGCGAACAGG